AGGCCGCGAUUGAGGCCUACUCGGUCUUUCGGCGCCAGGCGGAGGUGAGGGAUGCAUGUCUCUGCGCUAUGUUUCUUUCCAGACUCUUCCUCCUCAAGGAAUGGACCAGGAUAUGUCUCCACCUUCCAGACCAAGAUGGCUCCCCCCUUGACCCUUGGUAGAAGAGGCUGUCCUACGCUAGAGGAAAAGAUGUAGCAUGUUGAAUAUGCUUGGAAGCCCAGAAGCUAUUGCAAUCUACAGACAGGAGGAGUUGGCUGCAGACUUUUUUUUUUUUUUUUAGCAAUUGUUUAAUGUGUCCCGUCGAAGGUAAGAAUAGGAACGUAAGAAUGCCGAAGCCUCGAAACUUAAUCCCUUGACAAAGCUGACACUUCAUUGGUGUUCGAUCGAUAGAGGAAACUUGAAACGCCGUCUUGGUUUCCCGUUUUUAAAAAAGUUAGCGUUGCCUUCCUGCUCGUCUUAACUUAGAUUCCCUUGCCGGUGUCCUUGGCACGGCUUAUCUGUGCCCUUUCCCAGGGAAUUCUUUCCAUCAGGAGAUGCACCCAUGUGCCUCGUGUUCAUGCUUCAAACUAAAUGGCCUUGGAACA